GUAGGUUGACAAUGUUUUAUUCAUAAAAUGCUAAAAUGUCUUAUAUGCUUUAUAUAUAGAUUAAAUAAAUUUAUAUUCACGUUUAUAAAUUGGAAAAUGUUUUUAGGCUUGGCUUGUUCUUAAAUGAAUAAGAGGUGAGCUGCAGAGUAUAUUGGAGUAGAGGAGAAGCUCGAAAAAUAAUGAGAAAUUCGUUUAGAAAAAGAAAUUCAACCAACGUAUAACAUCCAACAGCAUGAGACUUUGAAACUGUUGAAGAACUACCGCAUUUACAGAACAGGACCAAGGACUCCGGUUUCCGGCAUAAAAUAAUUUAACAGCAUAUGAAUUUUAAGAUAUUCGGAAUAUAUUAUUAUUUAAAUAAA